UAUCAGGAAGGCAAAAUAUGCUGCUCUCAAGAAGGUGUACAAUAGCUCUGAAGCACUUAUAGCCUCAUGGACUGACUGGUGACUUCCCAUCCUUUAUAUUCUCAGAGCAUAGCUGACAGUCUAGGAGGUUUGAGGAAAAUGUAGUUCUCAAAGUCUGGAAGGUUCCAUGAGAGUCUGCAGAGGUUCAGAAUAUUCUAGGAGGUUGAUACUGCAGAACACCAGAAGUCAAUUUUUUCCAGCAUGAAAACUGUUAGCAUCAGUGAACAAAAUGGAAAAUGUUUUGGAGCAAACAUUAAAGAAUCAAUUUGUAAGCUCCUAGAAGGGUAACAUCCUUCUGGAUAGUGGAACGCUGGAAAUAAAGUGUCACUAAAAAUCAGCUUGCGUGCCGUAGGUUGCUGACCCCAGCCUAGACAAUUCCUCUAUAAAGUGGGUGCACAAAUGGUUGGAAAACCAUACUCAGAAUCAGUGUCAAUGAUUCACAGACAAGCUGAAAGGGCAUAUCAAGUGGGCUCCCACAAGAAUCUCACAAGAUUCGGUUCUAUUCAAUAUCUUCAUAAAUGAUUUGGAUAAUGGCUGAAAGACUACACUUAUAAAGUUUGCAGAUUAUACCAAGCUGAGGGAGGUCGUAAGUGCUUUGGAGGAUGGAAUUUGAAUUCAAACCGAUCUUGGCAAACUGGAGAAAUGGUCUGAAUUAAAUAGAAUGAAAUUCAAUAAGGACAAAUGCAAAGUAGUGCA